rnacentral:rRNA from 1 species
AGGUCGAGCGGAACGAUGGUAGCUUGCUACCAGGCGUCGAGCGGCGGACGGGUGAGUAAUACUUAGGAAUCUACCUAGUAGUGGGGGAUAGCACGGGGAAACUCGUAUUAAUACCGCAUACGACCUACGGGAGAAAGGGGGCAGUUUACUGCUCUCGCUAUUAGAUGAGCCUAAGUCGGAUUAGCUAGAUGGUGGGGUAAAGGCCUACCAUGGCGACGAUCUGUAGCUGGUCUGAGAGGAUGAUCAGCCACACCGGGACUGAGACACGGCCCGGACUCCUACGGGAGGCAGCAGUGGGGAAUAUUGGACAAUGGGGGAAACCCUGAUCCAGCCAUGCCGCGUGUGUGAAGAAGGCCUUUUGGUUGUAAAGCACUUUAAGCAGUGAAGAAGACUCUUCGGUUAAUACCCGGAGACGAUGACAUUAGCUGCAGAAUAAGCACCGGCUAACUCUGUGCCAGCAGCCGCGGUAA